rnacentral:misc_RNA from 1 species
UGGACUACAAGGGUAUCUAAUCCCGUUUGCUACCCUAGCUUUCGCGUCUGAGUGUCAGAAAUAGUCCAGAAGACCGCUUUCGCCACUGGUGUUCCUCCCGAUAUCUACGCAUUUCACCACUACACCGGGAAUUCCAUCUUCCUCUACUAUUCUCAAGUCCGGUAGUAUUGAACGACCUCUCCCAGUUGAGCCAGGAGCUUUCACAUCCAACUUACCGAACCACCUGCACGCGCUUUACGCCCAGUAAAUCCGGAUAACGCUUGCCUCCUACGUGUUACCGCGGCGGCUGGCAC